CCUGUGAGUGUUGAGGAAUUGCACAUAUGUAAGUAACUAUCACUGUGUUCAUCUCCCAAUAGUAUCCAUGGGAAUUUUGUGAGUGUACAGUCAGGAAAUGAUGUUCUUAUAUAACAGCAGUAUUUCUUUGGAGUACUACGAGUAUCUGGGUAGAGUUUAUGUGUUCUGCAAUAAUGGAAGUGACCAAGGUUAUUUGCAGGUGUCCUGGUAGUAAAAGUUAUGUGUCAUUUAACACUGUGGUCCCCAACCCCUGGACCCACAGACCAGUACCCGUCCAUGGCCUGUUAGGAACCGAGCCACACAGCAGGAGAUGAGCCAUGAGCCAGUGACUGAAGCUUCAUCUGUAUUUACAGCUGCUUCUCCUUGCUAACAUCAUUGCAUUAGCUCAGCUUCCUGUCAAAUCAACGGUAUGUCACAUCACCAGGUAUGUGGUGUUUUGCACCUUAAUACGUCACAGAUCAUCUGAUCUUCAUAGAUCCAGGUAACUGAUAUUAAUGGUUGUUAAUGGGACCUUGCUAAUAACCAAUUAGAUGAUAAAGUGGUCUUAACACAAUGCAGACCAGCUGAUCUAAUGAUAUCUAGGUAAGUGAAGAUGGUGUCCCAAAUACCUGUAUUAUCAUGGCUGUUUUUAAAGUUCCCAUCCCAUUAAAGUCUUUGCUAGUAAACAGGUAUGAUACAAUAUGACUUGAUUGAUUAGAGACAUUCUUAUUUUCAGAUAUUUGUGUAGUAAAUGGUAUUCUCAAGACUCUUAUAUUAACAUUGUUUUUGCCGUGUAUGCAGUUAGAAAAUUAGUUCCUAGCAAUACUAGUAAACAUGGGAUUUUACUGUAUUCUUGUUUAGAGAGAGUGUAUAUUUAACGUUCUAGUGACAGAUGGGUAUGCAAGUAUCCAGGUACUUUAUAGUAUUGUCUAUCACAAGGUUAUUGAUCACUUUUCAGGUAUGCAUUCAAGAGAGGAAGGGGUUUCUUACGAUAAUUUGAACUCAGAGUUCUGCAGGCAUCCAGGUAUUGUUCAUAGGCCUUGAAAUGAUCCAAGUGACCAAAGGGGUUUGCAGGUAUUCAAGUAUUAGAAGACAUGUACCAAACUCAUUUUUCACAAUGUGAUUUUCAGAUUCAAGUCAAGACAUGACAAUGAACUUAAAAAGGGUAAUGAAAUGGGACAUGGUUGGUGCGAAGGAAAGGGGUGACAUGGGACAGAAGCACAGUACAGCCCACCUGGCCAUUUUGCAGAUGUUCAGGUAAGUAAUAAUAGAAUCCUUACCAAUUCUAGAAUCCAUGCUGUUUUGCAUUUUAUAUUUUAGAGAAAAUUUAUGGUAAACUCUGUGAGUUUGAGGGAUUGUGUGUAUCCAGGUAAUGAUUCUGGUGAUCCUCACCAGAGGAGUAACUACAGGAUUUUAUAGGUUUCCUGUCAAGAAAUGAUUUUUUGAUACCACAGUGGUGUUGACCUUGGAAUACUGUAAAUGUCCAGGUAAAGUUGAUUUGUCUCAUGGGGACGGAAGUCACUAAAGUUAUUUGCAGAUGUCUUUGUGGAAAAAGUUGCGUUCUUUAACACAUAUUCACAAUGUAUUUCAGAUUCCUGUGAAACAAGCAUUUUGGAAUUAAAAGUGCAUGUUAAUAGGGGACAUUGCUGGUGUUCAGGUAAGUGAUGGUGUGUAUUUGAAUCACAUCAUGGACCCUCUAUCUGUAUAUAUCUAGGGAAGGUUUGCCUUAGGAUGUUUACCUCAGGUAAGACAUGAUGGUUUUUCCCAAUUCUAGCAAGCAUGAUACUUUACAGUUUAUAUUUUAUAGAAAAUGUAUAUUUAACCAUGUGUGUCAUCAGGUAUCUCCAUAUAUCCAUGUAACUGUCUUGGAGCUCCCCAUCAUGGUGGUAACUAUGGGAUAUUUUCAGGUUUGCAGUCAAGAGAUGAUUGUGUCUCUAACAAAGGUGUGGCAGUGUUCAAUUGAAGCAAGUGUCCAGGUAGAUUUGAUGUGUCCCACAAUAAUGGAAGCGUACAAGGUUGUGGACAGGUGUCCUGGUAGAACAAGUUGUAUCCUAAAACACAUUUGUUAUAUAUGUUUUUCUAGGUUCUUGUCAAAACAAUGCAACAGUAACCCAGUGGUCAGUAAUGAAACCUUGCUAGGAAACAGGAAUCUCUUCAUGAGAGCAUGGGGUCUCUUACAAGACUUUUUCCUUGGAAUUCUGCAAGUAUCCAGAUUUAUGUCAAAACAUCACGGCAAGCCUACCAAGGCUAGUUACCACGGGCCCUGGUGAUAUCAAGUUAAAUGCUCAUGUCUAAACCACAGCAUAGAUGAUGAGAUUGUCAUAAGUACAUAGGUAAGUAAUGAUGUGUUCUAUACUUCUUAUGGUCUUGUUUUUUUUUUUCACAGCUAUUCAGGUAAUAAAUCAUUCACUCCUUACCAAUUCUUGAAACCCUGAAUUUUUACAUGUUAUAUUUAGAGGAAAUUUCUGUUUACCCCUGUGAGUGUUGAGGGGUAGCACAUACCCCAGUACUCAUCAUUGUGUUCCCCACCAGAGUGCUGCCCAUAGGUUUUUACAGGUGGACAGUCAAGAAAUGAUAGUUUUGUAAUGUCAGCGUUGAUCCAGGCUUACUGUAAGUAUCCAGAUAGAGUUGAUGUGUCCCAUAAAGAUGAAAGUAACCAAGGUUAUUUUCAGUUGUCCUGGUGGCAAAAAUUGUAUCUUUAAACAUAUAUUUCUAAUGCCUUUUCCAGAUUCCCUUCGUGGCAUCACAUUGGAAUCUAACAUUGUUCCUUAAUGGGGGAUUUCACUGAUUUGUAGGUAAGUGUUGACAUGGACCUAAACCAAAGCACAGUCCAUCUCAUCUUCAAGUAUCUAGGUAAGUGGUGGUGCUUUCCCUACUACUUGUUGUUACCAUCAUUUAUUUUAAGGUAUUCUAGUACGAAAUGAUAAGAUUUCUUACAAAUACUAGAAACCAUGAAUUUUUCCUUUUUAUAUGUUAGAGAACAUGUUUAACCCUAUAAGUGUUGGGAGAGUGCACAUAUCAGGUAAUUAUUAAAUGUUCCCAACCAGUCAUCACCAUGGGAUGUUUGCAGGUGUCCUGUAAGGAAAUGUUGUUUUAUCUGACAAUGGCUAUAACCUUGGACUACAACAAGUAUCCAGGUAGAAUCCCGUAAUCAUGGAUGUAUUCAGCGUUACUUGCUGAAUCCUGGCAGAACAUGUUGUAUCCAUUUACACAUAUAUCACAAUAUGUUUUUUAGGUUCUUGUCAAGAGAUCAUGAUGAACUUAAGAGUAUUCAUUUUAAGGGAACAAUUCUAGUAUCCAAGUAAGUGAUGCUUCGUACCAACAUCAUAUCACAGACAUUCUGAUCAUUAUGUAUCUGGGUAAGUUAUGUUUAUUUGCCUAAACUUAUUUUACCAUGUGAUUUUUUAAACAGCUAUUUAGGUAAAAAUGAAAGUGCUCCCUAAUUCUAGUAACCACAUUAUCCAACCAUUUUAUAUUUUAGAGAAAAUUUUACCAUAUGAGUGUCAGAUGUUCCUAGGAGAUUAUCAUGGAGUUGUGCAUUACAGUAGCAACCAUGGAAAUAUAUUUUUGCAGGUGGGUAUGAAGAGACAACAAUGUGUCUAAAAAUGAAGUAGACCUUGGAACCUGCAGAAACAUGCAAGGUAAAGUUGAUGGUUCCUGGGAUAAUGGCAGUGAACAAGGUUAUUUGCAGGAUCCUGGUAGAAAAGCUGUGUUCAUAGACAUAUUUGUCACAAUAUGUUUUCAGGUUCUUAUCAACAGAUCAUGGUAAACCUCCUAAUGAUCAAGAAGGAGCGUGCUUAUAUCCAAGUAAAUGAUGAUGUAGGCCUUAAGUGCCCUGCAAACAAUGUGAAGCGCAGAUAUAUAGGUAAGUGUAGAUGAUGUUUCUACAUUCGUGUUGCCAUGUAUUUCUUGCAAGUAUUUAGUUAAAAAAAAUCAUAGUCUCCCAACCAAAUGCUAACGGGCAUUAGCCACUAUCAUUUUAGAGUUUACAUAUAGUGUGUUUAAUCUUAGAAGCUAUGGAGGGAUAAUGCAGUUGUCCAAGCAAGUUAUCCUACUGUUCCACACCACAGUAUUUAUCAUGAGACUUCUACAGGUACUCAGGGAAGAGAUGAUGAUAUCAUUAACAACAUUGCUGACUUUGAAGUCAUGGUCCCAGCAGUCUUGAGAUCUCAGUGAACCUACAAAUGGAAACUUGCUAGUAACCAGGCUAGAGUGAGUGCCGUGGCAUCAGCCUAGCUCACAGC